rnacentral:lncRNA from 1 species
CGCUCUUCCGAUCGGCUUGCACGCUCCAUCAGAAGAUACGUUGCAGCGUGUCAGAAAUGCCAGCGCCGCAAAACACCAUCGACGCUUCCCGCCGGGUGCCUUCAACCACUUGACAUUUCGUUAGAACCGUUCUUUCGCGUUAACUUAGACCUACUUGGCCCUUUUCCUCUGUC